AGAAAAUUGCAGCCGAGAUUCGUUCAUCCAAUGAACGAAUGCGGGGGAACCAGUCAACUGGGGCGCAUUCCGGUAUUUCCGGAUAGGGAACUUCCACUCCCGAGCCCGUCAGCUAACCUCGUAGGCAUCUGGAAGGGCGCGA
rnacentral:sRNA from 2 species